ACUACGGGAGGCAGCAGUGGGGAAUAUUGCACAAUGGGGGAAACCCUGAUGCAGCGACGCCGCGUGAGUGAAGAAGUAUUUCGGUACGUAAAGCUCUAUCAGCAGGGAAGAAACUGACGGUACCUGACUAAGAAGCCCCGGCUAACUACGUGCCAGCAGCCGCGGUAAUACGUAGGGGGCAAGCGUUAUCCGGAUUUACUGGGUGGAAAGGGAGCGUAGACGGCAGCGCAAGUCUGAAGUGAACUCCCAUGGCUUAACCAAGGAACUGCUUUGGAAACUGUGCAGCUGGAGUGCAGGAGAGGUAAGCGCAAUUCCUAGUGUAGCGGUGAAAUGCGUAGAUAUUAGGAGGAACACCAGUGGCGAAGGCGGCUUACUGGACUGUAACUGACGUUGAGGCUCGAAAGCGUGGGGAGCAAACAGGAUUAGAUACCCCAGUAGUC
rnacentral:rRNA from 1 species